rnacentral:rRNA from 1 species
CCUACGGGUGGCAGCAGUGAGGAAUAUUGGUCAAUGGGCGAGAGCCUGAACCAGCCAAGUCGCGUGAAGGAUGAAGGAUCUAUGGUUUGUAAACUUCUUUUAUAUGGGAAUAAAGUGAGGAACGUGUUCCUUUUUGUAUGUACCAUAUGAAUAAGCAUCGGCUAACUCCGUUCCAGCAGCCGGGGUAAUACGGAGGAUGCGAGCGUUAUCCGGAUUUAUUGGGUUUAAAGGGUGCGUAGGUGGUUAAUUAAGUCAGCGGUGAAAGUUUGUGGCUCAACCAUAACAUUGCCGUUGAAACUGGUUGACUUGAGUAUACUUGAGGUAUGCGGAAUGCGUGGUGUAGCGGUGAAAUGCAUAGAUAUCACGCAGAACUCCGAUUGCGAAGGCAGCUUACUAAACUAUAACUGACACUGAAGCACGAAAGCGUGGGUAUCAAACAGGAUUAGAUACCCGGGUAGUC